GAUGAACGCUGGCGGUCUGCUUAACACAUGCAAGUCGAACGGACUCUUCGGAGCUAGUGGCGGACGGGUGAGUAACGCGUGAGAAUCUGCCUUCAGGAGGGGGAUAACGACUGGAAACGGUCGCUAAUACCCCAUAUGCCUCUGGGUGAAAAGUAAUUCGCCUGAAGAUGAGCUCGCGUCAGAUUAGCUAGUUGGUGGGGUAAGAGCCUACCAAGGCGACGAUCUGUAGCUGGUCUGAGAGGAUGAUCAGCCACACUGGGACUGAGACACGGCCCAGACUCCUACGGGAGGCAGCAGUGGGG
rnacentral:rRNA from 1 species